rnacentral:rRNA from 1 species
UACGUAGGGUGCAAGCGUUGUCCGGAAUUAUUGGGCGUAAAGAGCUCGUAGGCGGUUUGUUGCGUCGGCUGUGAAAUCCCGAGGCUCAACCUCGGGUCUGCAGUCGAUACGAGCAAACUAGAGUGUUGCAGGGGAGACUGGAAUUCCUGGUGUAGCGGUGAAAUGCGCAGAUAUCAGGAGGAACACCGGUGGCGAAGGCGGUUCUCUGGGCAUGUCCUGACGCUGGAGGAGCGAAAAGUGUGGGGAGCGAAACAGG